GGGAAUAAAAAGGUUGUGACAGUAGCUUCAGGAUCACUCAGCAGCAAGAAUCAACAUUAAUAACUAUUCUCAGAGGCACAGAGGGAGGAAAAAACGUCAUUUACUUAACAUUCUUUAAUUCUUUGUGGUAUAACAAGACUAUGUCAAGAUUUAGGGUCGAAAAGCACGGUUCUUUUGCUCAUGAGAAAAGCCUUUCAUAAUCUACACAUUUUUCCUGACACUUGGAGUUCUGAGAUCUCGGGCCACCUUUAAAUGUGGUAUCCCCCUGCUGACAGCUCUCAAACAGCCUUCAGAGGAAAAAGAAAAUCCCAAGAUUACUUUACUCCAGAGACUCCAAACAGCCUGGGCCUUACUGCAUAAAGAUGUCUCUUUAUACAAGAGUUAGAUAGUGCUGAAGAAAGUAACUUUUGUAUGCCUAUAUUUUAACACAGGGUCAUGGAUAGCUCAUUAAGCAUUCUUCCUCUGGUUUGAUUACAUAAAGAGUUGGUUUUGUAAUAUAAUAGCACGGGAAGGUCAGUAUGGUUAUGAGAGAAACCUUAGAUGCUGUGACAAAUCCAAUAACUAUCAGGGUAUUUUGUUCAUAAAAGUAAAGCAUUUCUCAAAAUAUUUUGCUGAUUUGUUAAGGUACUGGGAGAUAGUAUGCUGGCUGCUGGGCUGACCUUCUCCGUCACACUAGACAGCGUCAAAGGAUCUGACAACUGUACAAGUUCAACUGGCUAGGCUGUCAACAGAUUUUCUUAGAAGAUACAGAUUUGUCUUUCAGAGUAAGGUGGAGACCAAAACAAGGAUAUUUUAAAGCUGAGUGGCACAGGUAUCAGCACUAAGGGGUGAGGGUGAAGACAAAUACCAGCGGGCUACCUACUCAGGCACCUAGCUUCAGGAGUUCGGUAGAAGCGGAGCAGACGCACUUUUCAGAGUCUUUAACACAGAGAGUGAUUCACAUCUCACAAGGCCAGGCGUCCUCGAAAGGAACAUCAGAGGUUUCCAGCUACCUGACGCUGUGGCGACAAAUAUAGAGCUGCACUGCCCUCCAGAGAGACAUCAGACUAAAGAGGCAGCCUAGGGAAAACUUAGCUGUUCAGAGAAGCCUCAGAGACGACUUGAGGGCAUCAAAGGAGCUCCAGAGAAACUGAGUAUUUUGGAGUCUAAUCAUAUUGUCAUCACUUAACUGAAACCUGAGGGGUGCCCACAGCUACUGUGAGAAAAAAUACACAUUUAUUUUGAACACUUUUCUUCUUGAGCUUUUAUUCUCCAUAGUUACAUAAACCACUUCUGUCUCA